AACGCGAAGAACCUUACCUGGGCUUGAACCGCUACUGACCAACGGUAGAAAUAUCGUCUUCCCGCAAGGGACAGUAGUAGAGGUGCUGCAUGGCUGUCGUCAGCUCGUGCCGUGAGGUGUUGGGUUAAGUCCCGCAACGAGCGCAACCCUUACUCGUAGUUGCUACCCGCAAGGGAGAACUCUACGAGGACUGCUCCGGAUAACGGAGAGGAAGGUGGGGAUGACGUCAAGUCAGCACGGCCUUUAUGUCCAGGGCUACACACGUGUUACAAUGCACGGUACAGACUGUUGCGAACCCGCGAGGGGGAGCUAAUCGGACAAAACCGUGCUCAGUUCGGAUUGCAGUCUGCAACUCGGCUGCAUGAAGCUGGAAUCGCUAGUAAUGGCGUAUCAGAUCGACGCCGUGAAUACGUUCCCGGGUCUGACACCCAAGG
rnacentral:rRNA from 1 species